GAACGCUGGCGGCGUGCUUAACACAUGCAAGUCGAACGGAAAGGCCCUGCUUUUGUGGGGUGCUCGAGUGGCGAACGGGUGAGUAACACGUGAGUAACCUGCCCUUGACUUUGGGAUAACUUCAGGAAACUGGGGCUAAUACCGGAUAGGAGCUCCUGCUGCAUGGUGGGGGUUGGAAAGUUUCGGCGGUUGGGGAUGGACUCGCGGCUUAUCAGCUUGUUGGUGGGGUAGUGGCUUACCAAGGCUUUGACGGGUAGCCGGCCUGAGAGGGUGACCGGCCACAUUGGGACUGAGAUACGGCCCAGACUCCUACGGGAGGCAGCAGUGGGGAAUAUUGCACAAUGGGCGGAAGCCUGAUGCAGCAACGCCGCGUGCGGGAUGACGGCCUUCGGGUUGUAAACCGCUUUCGCCUGUGACGAAGCGUGAGUGACGGUAAUGGGUAAAGAAGCACCGGCUAACUACGUGCCAGCAGCCGCGGUGAUACGUAGGGUGCGAGCGUUGUCCGGAUUUAUUGGGCGUAAAGGGCUCGUAGGUGGUUGAUCGCGUCGGAAGUGUAAUCUUGGGGCUUAACCCUGAGCGUGCUUUCGAUACGGGUUGACUUGAGGAAGGUAGGGGAGAAUGGAAUUCCUGGUGGAGCGGUGGAAUGCGCAGAUAUCAGGAGGAACACCAGUGGCGAAGGCGGUUCUCUGGGCCUUUCCUGACGCUGAGGAGCGAAAGCGUGGGGAGCGAACAGGCUUAGAUACCCUGGUAGUCCACGCUGUAAACGGUGGGUACUAGGUGUGGGGUCCAUUCCACGGGUUCCGUGCCGUAGCUAACGCUUUAAGUACCCCGCCUGGGGAGUACGGCCGCAAGGCUAAAACUCAAAGGAAUUGACGGGGCCCCGCACAAGCGGCGGAGCAUGCGGAUUAAUUCGAUGCAACGCGUAGAACCUUACCUGGGUUUGACAUGGAUCGGGAGUGCUCAGAGAUGGGUGUGCCUCUUUUGGGGUCGGUUCACAGGUGGUGCAUGGCUGUCGUCAGCUCGUGUCGUGAGAUGUUGGGUUAAGUUCCGCAACGAGCGCAACCCUUGUUCACUGUUGCCAGCACGUUAUGGUGGGGACUCAGUGGAGACCGCCGGGGUCAACUCGGAGGAAGGUGGGGAUGACGUCAAGUCAUCAUGCCCCUUAUGUCCAGGGCUUCACGCAUGCUACAAUGGCUGGUACAGAGAGUGGCGAGCCUGUGAGGGUGAGCGAAUCUCGGAAAGCCGGUCUCAGUUCGGAUUGGGGUCUGCAACUCGACCUCAUGAAGUCGGAGUCGCUAGUAAUCGCAGAUCAGCAACGCUGCGGUGAAUACGUUCCCGGGGCUUGUACACACCGCCCGUCAAGUCAUGAAAGUUGGUAACACCCGAAGCCGGUGGCCUAACCGUUGUGGGGGAGCCGUCGAAGGUGGGACUGGUGAUUAGG
rnacentral:rRNA from 1 species